CAGUCGCCGCGGUAAUACGGAGGGUGCAAGCGUUAAUCGGAAUUACUGGGCGUAAAGCGCACGCAGGCGGUCUGACAAGUCAGAUGUGAAAUCCCCGGGCUUAACCUGGGAACUGCAUUUGAAACUGUCAGGCUGGAGUCUUGUAGAGGGGGGUGGAAUUCCAGGUGUAGCGGUGAAAUGCGUAGAGAUCUGGAGGAAUACCGGUGGCGAAGGCGGCCCCCUGGACAAAGACUGACGCUCAGGUGCGAAAGCGUGGGGAGCAAACAGGAUUAGAUACCCCUGAGUCCCUGUCUCUUAUACA
rnacentral:rRNA from 1 species